rnacentral:rRNA from 1 species
UACGGAGGGAGCUAGCGUUGUUCGGAAUUACUGGGCGUAAAGCGCGCGUAGGCGGCUUUGUAAGUUAGAGGUGAAAGCCCGGAGCUCAACUCCGGAACUGCCUUUAAAACUGCAUCGCUUGAAUCCAGGAGAGGUGAGUGGAAUUCCGAGUGUAGAGGUGAAAUUCGUAGAUAUUCGGAAGAACACCAGUGGCGAAAGCGGCUUCCUGGACCAGAACUGACGAUCGAGGCUCGAAAGCGUGGGGAGCAAACAGG